rnacentral:rRNA from 1 species
UACGGAGGGUGCAAGCGUUAAUCGGAAUUACUGGGCGUAAAGGGUGCGUAGGUGGUUUUUUAAGUUAACUGUGAAAUUCCUGGGCUCAACCUGGGCCGGACAGUUAAGACUGGAAGACUAAGAGUAUGGGAGAGGGUAGUGGAAUUUCCGGUGUAGCGGUGAAAUGCGUAGAGAUCGGAAGGAACAUCGGUGGCGAAGGCGGCUACCUGGCCUAAUACUGACACUGAGGCACGAAAGCGUGGGUAGCAAACAGG